rnacentral:rRNA from 1 species
GCGCAACCCCUGCAUCCAGUUGCCAUCGGGCGAGCCGGGCACGUCUGGAGGGACUGCCGGCGACCGAAGCCGGAGGAAAGGUGGGGAGUGACGUCAAGUCAUCAUGGCCCUUAUGUCCAGGGCGACACACGUGCUACAAUGGCCGGCACAGGCGGGAAGCGAGGGGCGACCCUGAGCGGAUCCCUUGAAAAGCCGGUCCCAGUUCGGAUUGCAGUCUGCAACUCGACUGCAUGAAGUUGGAAUCGCUAGUAAUCGCGGAUCAGCCAAGCCGCGGUGAAUACGGUUCCCGGGCCUU